UGAGGAAUAUUGGUCAAUGGGCGAGAGUCUGAACCAGCCAAGUAGCGUGCAGGAUGACGGCCCUAUGGGUUGUAAACUGCUUUUAUACGGGAAUAAAGUGAGGCACGUGUGCCUUUUUGUAUGUACCAGUAUGAAUAAGGACCGGCUAAUUCCGUG
rnacentral:rRNA from 1 species